ACCUUUCGAGUAGCGUAGUUUGAGAUUGCUACGCCAACGUGGGACGUAAACUUGUUCCAAAGCUAAAUAUUAUAACGAGACCGAUAGCGAACAAGUACCGUGAGGGAAAGUUGAAAAGCACUCUGAAGAGAGAGUUAAAUAGUACGUAAAACCGUACAGAAGAAAACGAAUGGCCGCAUUCAUCAGAUUACUUUGAAUUCAAUUCGAUCUCUAUAUGAUGGUGAGACUUGUCAAGUUGGAACUUCAACAGUCCCUUGGUUCGUUCUUGCCUAGAGUCGGAUGCAUUUCCAAAGUAUUAACUGAACCUGGAUCUAUAACAUGACAGCUAGUCGAAUCAGCCGAUCUUGGUAGCGAGUUUACUCGUGUUAAAGAUACGGCUUGCAUAGACAACAAAUUCGACUUGGCGUUAUAGGUGAACAGACAUGUUUUUGAUUUCAGUACUCUCGAGUACGGCAUGCCAUGAGCAUUGUUUGUGCCACAUGAGUGACUAAGGCGUCAAAACUUUAGUUUCAUCCAUUGUCGGUGCCUAAUGUUUUGUGGCUGUCAAUGAAAUCGGCAAGUCAACAGGAGUUUUGAAUGCCGAGUUAUUCGACCCGUCUUGUAACACGGUCUAAGGAGUUCACUGCAUGUGCAAGAGUUCGGCUGUAUGAAAAGCCUUGCUCGUAAUGAAAGUAAAGAACAUUCUUGCAAUGUUUUAAGUGUGAUUUCUGUCAUCUGGUGCAAAUCAUGACAAUGAACGCAACACUGACAGGUUCUAUUGCCGUUGGCAAAGAGCUUAGUAAGAGUAUAUGCAAUGAGACCCGAAAGAUGGUGAACUUAAUGUGUGUAGAAUGAAGCCAGGGGAAACCCUGGUGGAAGUUCGUAGCGGUUCUGACGUGCAAAUCGAUCGUCAAACAUGCAUUAAGGGGCGAAAGACUAAUCGAACCAUCUAGUAGCUGGUUCCGUCCGAAGUUUCCCUCAGGAUAGCUGGCAUUCAAGUUUUCACAGUUAUAUCCGGUAAAGCGAAUGUUUAGAGGCAUUGGGCGUAAAAUACGCUCAACCUAUUGACAAACUUUAAAUGGGUAUGAAGUUCAUUUUUCUACUUCAUUGAGAAUGAACAGCGAAUGUGAGUGCCAAGUGGGCCAUUUUUGGUAAGCAGAACUGGCGCUGUUGGAUGCACAAAACGUCAAGAUAAAGAGCCAGAUGGUCUCGCUCAUCAGAUACCAUAAAAGGUGUUGGUCGAUAUAGACAGCAGGACGGUGGCCAUGGAAGUCGGAAUCCGUUAAGGAGUGUGUAACAACUCACCUGCCGAAUCGACUAGUCCUAAAAAUGGAUGGCGCUCGAGCGAGCCUCUUAUACUUGACUGUUACGAUACAACAAGCCAUAUAACGGACAUCAUGUCGUAACAAGUAGGACGGUUGAUAUGGUUGCGUCGAAGGCUAACACGUGAGUGUGGCUUGAGCAGUCAUAUGUACAGAUCUUAGUGGUAGUAGCAACUAUUCAAAUGAGAACUUUGAAGACUGACGUGGAGAAAGGUUCCAUGUGAACAGCUAUUGGACAUGGGUCAGUCAGUCCUAAGAUGCGCUCGAAAGAGGGUUCCGAACGAGGAAUAUUUAUAUUCAUCUAUUUAUAUUCCAUCAAAUCGAAAGGGAAACAAGUUAAUAUUCUUGUACUAAGUGUCGGAGAUUGUUUGAUUUCUUGUCAAACAUAUGUGGUAACACAAACAAGCUCAAAUACAUCACAAGUGGUCCUGGAAAGAGUUUUCUCUUCUUUGUUACUUCAUCAGACGACCCUGGAAUCAGUUCAACUGGAGAUAGGGUUCAAAUGAAGGUAAAGAGUAGCCGUUCUUGCUACUUCCUCGGUGCAUCAUUUGUGAUCCUUGAAAAUUUGAGCGAGAUAUUCAAUUUCGCACUUAUCUGUACUCUAAACCGCAUCAGGUCUCCAAGGUGAAAAGCCUCUAGUCAAUUAGAACAAGGUAGCACAAGGGAAGUCGGCAAAAUCGAUCGGCAACUUCGGGAUAACGAUUGGCUCUAAGUGCUAGGGUGUUCGGGCUUGAUGAUAAAGCAGUAGANNNNNNNNNNNNNUCGUAUUACUUCGGACAUCGUUUAAUAGCAAACUUAGAACUCGCUGCGUCUAGGGGAAUCCGACUGUCUAAUUAAAACAGAGCUUUGCGAUUGGCCGGAAAACUUGGUGUUGACGCAAAGUGAUUUCUGCCCAGUGCUCUGAAUGUUAACGUGAAGAAAUUCAAAUAAGCGCGGGUAAACGGCGGGAGUAACUAUGACUCUCUUCUGGUAGCCAAAUGCCUCGUCAUCUAAUUAGUGACGCGCAUGAAUGGAUUAACGAGAUUCCCAC
rnacentral:rRNA from 1 species